rnacentral:misc_RNA from 1 species
AGAAAGAAAUCCAGUUCAUACAUAGGCAUUGGUAGCACAUCGAGCUAACCUAACUCAAAAUAAUCUCUUGCAUUUAACUUGUGCUCAGAUUGCUCAGUAAUGUCUUCUGGCAAAGAUGACAUCGGUGCCAACCAAGUCAAAACAAAUCAAUGGGUGGGAUGGAUCAUGAUGUGUAUUCGAAAGGCUGGGGUGGUUGAGGCUCCUCGUCUACAGCCAUGGCUGAUCCUGAACCUUGCUGCCCGGUUGCUGAACCACUGGCAGGUGAUCCUGUUGAUGACGGUGUGUCUGUUAGAGAUAGGA